rnacentral:snRNA from 1 species
GCGUUCUCAACAAAAAGAAACCA